AAGUCGUAACAAGGUUUCCGUAGGUGAACCUGCGGAAGGAUCAUUAACGUGGGGCUCCGGCCCCGCCGAGAUAGAACCCUUGCCUUUUCGAGUACCAAACGUUUCCUCGGCAGGUCCGCCUGCCAAUGGGGACCCAAACAAACCCUUGAAUCACCAGUCACAGUCUGAGAAAACAAAACAAAAAUCAAAACUUUCAACAACGGAUCUCUUGGUUCUG
rnacentral:misc_RNA from 1 species